UCUGCUGCUGCUGCUUUCAUAUUUGACCUACAUUUGUUGCUUCCUUUUGGCAAUUGUUGUGUUUUUUCUUUGGACGUCGACGUCGCUGCCGCUGUCGCUGUCGCUGCACUUGUAAAAUGGUUUCCUGCUGAUUCCACUUCUUGGACAACUUCUUCUAUUUCUGCAGCUUCUUUUGCUGCUGCUGCUGCUCGUCUCUUGAAAUAUCCAAUAUACGGAGCAGAAGAGGAACAACAACAACAACAAAAAAUCAACCAACAGCCGCAGCUGCUGCA